CUUUUGAUUUCCAGAUGCUGCUC
rnacentral:piRNA from 1 species